rnacentral:rRNA from 1 species
AGUGAACGCUGGCGGUAGGCCUAACACAUGCAAGUCGAACGGCAGCACAGUAAGAGCUUGCUCUUACGGGUGGCGAGUGGCGGACGGGUGAGGAAUACAUCGGAAUCUACUUUUUCGUGGGGGAUAACGUAGGGAGACUUACGCUAAUACCGCAUACGACCUACGGGUGAAAGCAGGGGAUCUUCGGACCUUGCGCGAUUGGAUGAGCCGAUGUCGGAUUAGCUAGUUGGCGGGGUAAAGGCCCACCAAGGCGACGAUCCGUAGCUGGUCUGAGAGGAUGAUCAGCCACACUGGAACUGAGACACGGUCCAGACUCCUACGGGAGGCAGCAGUGGGGAAUAUUGGACAAUGGGCGCAAGCCUGAUCCAGCCAUACCGCGUGGGUGAAGAAGGCCUUCGGGUUGUAAAGCCCUUUUGUUGGGAAAGAAAAGCAGCAGGUUAAUACCCCGCUGUUCUGACGGUACCCAAAGAAUAAGCACCGGCUAACUUCGUG